AACGUACGCUGGCGGCACGCCUAACACAUGCAAGUCGAACGAAGUAGCAAUACUUAGUGGCAGACGGGUGAGUAACAUGUAGGUAUCUGCCCUUUGGCCUGGAAUAACACGAGGAAACUUGUGCUAAUACCGGAUAAGUCUUUACGGAGAAAGCUUUAUGCACCAUUGGAUGAGCCUGCACUUGAUUAGUUUGUUGGUGGGGUAAUGGCCUACCAAGACUGUGAUCAAUAGCUGAUUUGAGAGGAUGAUCAGCCACAUUGGGACUGAGACACGGCCCAAACUCCUACGGGAGGCAGCAGUGGGGAAUCUUGCACAAUGGAGGAAACUCUGAUGCAGCGAUGCCGCGUGAGUGAAGAAGGCCCUUGGGUUGUAAAGCUCUUUCGUCGGGGAAGAAAAUGACUGUACCCGAAUAAGAAGGUCCGGCUAACUUCGUGCCAGCAGCCGCGGUAAUACGAAGGGACCUAGCGUAGUUCGGAAUUACUGGGCUUAAAGAGUUCGUAGGUGGUUGAAAAAGUUAGUGGUGAAAUCCCAGAGCUUAACUCUGGAACUGCCAUUAAAACUUUUCAGCUAGAGUACGAUAGAGGAAAGCAGAAUUUCUAGUGUAGAGGUGAAAUUCGUAGAUAUUAGAAAGAAUACCAAUUGCGAAGGCAGCUCUCUGGAUCAUUACUGA
rnacentral:rRNA from 1 species